GACGAACGCUGGCGGCGUGCUUAACACAUGCAAGUCGAACGGAAAGGCCCUGCUUUUGUGGGGUGCUCGAGUGGCGAACGGGUGAGUAACAAGUGAGUAACCUGCCCUUGACUGUGGGAUAACUUCAGGAAACUGGGGCUAAUACCGGAUAGGAGCUCCUGCUGCAUGGUGGGGGUUGGAAAGUUUCGGUGGUUGGGGAUGUACUCGCGGCUUAUCAGCUUGUUGGUGGGGUAGUGGCUUACCAAGGCUUUGACGGGUAGCCGGCCUGAGAGGGUGACCGGCCACAUUGGGACUGGAAUACGGCCCAGCCUCCUACGGGAGGCAGCAGUGGGGUAUAGUGCACAAUGGGCGGAAGCCUGAUGCAGCAACGCCGCGUGCGGGAUGACGGCCUUCGGGUUGUAAACCGCUUUCGCCUGUGACGAAGCGUGAGUGACGGUAAUGGGUAAAGAAGCACCGGCUAACUACGUG
rnacentral:rRNA from 1 species